AGUAAUGAAACUUGAGACUUGAGUGGUCCAUGUAGUAUGAAUAUAACAUUCAAUCUGUCAAAUGUAUGCACUACACCAUGGUGAUAACAUGGUUAAAAUAUCAGGUCAAUCAGAUCAACAGAUGGGCUACACUUUAAUUGCAAUAUUUUGAAGGGGGUACAUUACUUUCUAUGGAUUUGCCCACCUUAUGAUUGGCUUUGCCAUAUUUUCAGUUUUGUCGCGUAAUAAUGGUGGCAUGCAUCUAUUGAAUGGGUUGAAUGUGAGAUACAUACCAUGUGGCCCCACAACUAUUGCUUUUGGAUCGUGUGAUUAAAUAUGCUCGAUGGAGCUUUUUGUUUGCCCUAUACAAGGUGGUCAUUAUAUAUAUAUUUUUUCAUUUUUAACCAUGCAAACAGAUAGCUCGCUUGUUACGAGGUCAUUCCACGCUGGCAUGAACUGAAAACACAAAUACUGGCCUGGUUCAAAAUUUGGAUCUCACACCCAUAUUGGCACGUAUGCUUGCAUUUGGGUGAGUUGGGUUCUUUUCCCUUGUUUUCUAUGUAUGAAUCUUUUUGACAUGUCUGCUAUGAAUUGUUACAGGUUUGUAAGAAUGUGGAAGGCCAGAGAUAUUCCAAGCGGUUAAACGAGAGAAAUUUCCAGGUGGUAUUGACUUGAGGCAUUUCCGGAUUGCAGGUUGGCUUUCUACAGUUUAUGGGAGAUUCUCAAGUUGCCCCACAUCAUCAUCAUCAACAAUAGACAAAUCCUUGAGAUCAUUACAUGUUCUCAAUCUAAGUCCCUCUGCGAUCCCAAUCCGAACCCCCCUAUGAAUUCCAUGGCUACUCCAUGUUCCACGAGAACAAGUGGGAGUACAACUGAAGAGUGUGUGAGAUAGUGGAGCAGAGCCGGACAACAGACCAAUAGGUGUAAUCCUCAUCCAUCCAUCUUUUAUUUUCUCUGCUCAAACAAAUGGUAGAAGACAAUGGAGGGAUUUGGAGUGCAGGGAUUCUGUUCACCGAUUUUAAUGGAUAUGACAUGUAUGAAUUGUUGUUGAAGGAUUUGGUACUUUGGUUCUUCUCGAAGUUGGUGCUCAUGUAAUAUUAUGUCAUGUAUCUCUUACUUCGUAUGGUGUGAAUGAAAAGGGACUAGCUGAUAUCAUGCAGGAACUUCAAACACAAAUUGUCUGUUUAAGAAUACUUAGUGUAAUUUGCAGAUAUUUGUCUUGAUUCAUCA